GACGAACGCUGGCGGCGUGCUUAACACAUGCAAGUCGAACGGAAAGGCCCUGCUUUUGUGGGGUGCUCGAGUGGCGAACGGGUGAGUAACACGUGAGUAACCUGCCCUUGACUUUGGGAUAACUUCAGGAAACUGGGGCUAAUACCGGAUAGGAGCUCCUGCUGCAUGGUGGGGGUUGGAAAGUUUCGGCGGUUGGGGAUGGACUCGCGGCUUAUCAGCUUGUUGGCGGGGUAGUGGCUUACCAAGGCUUUGACGGGUAGCCGGCCUGAGAGGGUAACCGGCCACAUUGGGAAUGAGAUACGGCCCAGCCUCCUACGGGAGGCAGCAGUGGGGAAUAUUGCACAAUGGGCGGAAGCCUGAUGCAGCAACGCCGCGUGCGGGAUGACGGACUUCGGGUUGUAAACCGCUUUCGCCUGUGACGAAGCGUGAGUGACGGUAAUGGGUAAAGAAGCACCGGCUAACUACGUG
rnacentral:rRNA from 1 species